AGCGAACGCUGGCGGCAGGCUUAACACAUGCAAGUCGAGCGGGCGUAGCAAUACGUCAGCGGCAGACGGGUGAGUAACGCGUGGGAACGUACCUUUUGGUUCGGAACAACUGAGGGAAACUUCAGCUAAUACCGGAUAAGCCCUUACGGGGAAAGGAUUUAUCGCCGAAAGAUCGGCCCGCGUCUGAUUAGCUUGUUGGUGAGGUAACGGCUCACCAAGGCGACGAUCAGUAGCUGGUCUGAGAGGAUGAUCAGCCACAUUGGGACUGAGACACGGCCCAGACUCCUACGGGAGGCAGCAGUGGGGAAGUCUUGCGCAAUGCGCGAAAGACGUGACGCAGCAACGCCGCGUGGGAGGAAG
rnacentral:rRNA from 1 species